rnacentral:misc_RNA from 1 species
UCCGAGUUGACCCCGGCAGUCUCCCAUGAGUCCCCGGCAUAACCCGCUGGCAACAUGGAACAAGGGUUGCGCUCGUUGCGGGACUUAACCCAACAUCUCACGACACGAGCUGACGACAGCCAUGCGCCACCUGUACACCGGCCUUGCGGAGGCCGUGUCUCCACGGCUUUCCAGUGUAUGUCAAACCCAGGUAAGGUGGGGAUGACGUGAGGAUAG